GCUUGACCCACCAGGUCCGAAUGAGGCACUGCAAACAUAUUCAUGUCAAUUGCAAUCUGCUCAUAAGGUUUCAUCUACCUUUACCAUUGACUCAUGAGGUUUCUUCUACCUUUACCAAGCUAUCCACCCGACUCAGUCUUCAGUCAAUCAUCCGUGGAAUACCGCGUACAGCCAAGCUCAAGGUGAAGGACGCCUCACUUGCACCUCAGCCUUAGAUCCACUUAACUGGGAUACCAAUCCACUCUACUGGGAUACCGAAUCCACUCUGCUGGGAUUCAUAUACUUGUCACCCAAUCAGCUGGCUAACCCGAAGGUUUGCCCUCGACUCACCAUGCCAUCUCGUAAGGUAAGGAGACGCUCCUUGCUCGCAAACCCAAGACCGUCUGCUGGACAAAUAGCUUUAGUCCAUCAUGUGAAGACUCCGGAGCUCACUGCUUGUAUGGAGCGACCACCCGAAGCGAAAACAGGCUAGCCUUCGGCACCGGCGGAAGAACGGGAUCGCGGCAAG